rnacentral:rRNA from 1 species
GAAUGUUGACAUGAGUAGCGACAAACAGGGUGAGAGACCCUGUCGCCGAAAGUCCAAGGGUUCCUGCUUAAAGCUAAUCUGAGCAGGGUAAGCCGGCCCCUAAGGCGAGGCCGAAAGGCGUAGUCGAUGGGAACCAGGUUAAUAUUCCUGGGCCAGGAGAUGGUGACGGAUCGCAGAGCUAGUUCUUCCUUAUCGGAUUGGAAGGGCUGGUGAGUGGUUCCUGGAGAUAGCCCUCCAUGAGACCGUACCCUAAACCGACACAGGUGGACUGGUAGAGAAUACCAAGGCGCUUGAGAGAACCACAUUUAAGGAACUCGGCAAAAUACCUCCGUAAGUUCGCGAGAAGGAGGCCCCGUUGGCAGGCAACUGUUGGCGGGGGGCACAAACCAGGGGGUGGCGACUGUUUACUAAAAACACAGGGCUCUGCGAAGUCGUAAGACGACGUAUAGGGUCUGACGCCUGCCCGGUGCCGGAAGGUUAAAAGGAGAUGUGCAAGCAUUGAAUUGAAGCCCCGGUAAACGGCGGCCGUAACAAUAACGGUCCUAAGGUAGCGAAAUUCCUUGUCGGGUAAGUUCCGACCUGCACGAAUGGCGUAACGACUUCCCCGCUGUCUCAAAUGUGGACUCAGCGAAAUUGAAUUGUCUGUGAAGAUGCAGACUUCCCGCGGUUAGACGGAAAGACCCCAUGCACCUUUACUAUAGCUUCGCACUGGCAUCAGGAUUGUGAUGUGCAGGAUAGGCGGUAGGCUUGAAGCGGGAACGCUAGUUCCCGUGGAGCCAUCCUAGAGAUACCGCCCUUCGCACUCUUGAUGUCUAACCGCGGCCCGUUAUCCGGGUCCGGGACCCUGCGUGGUGGGUAGUUUGACUGGGGCGGUCGCCUCCCAAACAGUAACGGAGGCGCGCGAAGGUUGGCUCAGACCGGUCGGAAAUCGGUCGUUGAGUGCAAUGGCAGAAGCCAGCCUGACUGCAAGACUGACAAGUCGAGCAGAGACGAAAGUCGGUCAUAGUGAUCCGGUGGUCCCGAGUGGAAGGGCCAUCUCUCAACGGAUAAAAGGUACGCUGGGGAUAACAGGCUGAUGAUGCCCAAGAGUCCAUAUCGACGGCAUCGUUUGGCACCUCGAUGUCGGCUCAUCUCAUCCUGGGGCUGGAGCAGGUCCCAAGGGUAUGGCUGUUCGCCAUUUAAAGAGGUACGUGAGCUGGGUUUAGAACGUCGUGAGACAGUUCGGACCCUAUCUGCCGUGGGUGUAGGAUACUUGAGAGGAGUUGCCCCUAGUACGAGAGGACCGGGGUGAACGUUCCACUGGUGGACCAGUUGUCGUGCCAACGGCAGUGCUGGGUAGCUAUGAACGGACAGGAUAAACGCUGAAGGCAUCUAAGCGUGAAGCCCCCCUCAAAACCAGGUAUCCCUUGAGAGCCGUGGAAGACCACCACGUCGAUAGGCCGGGGAUGUAAGCGCAGCAAUGCGUUCAGUUGACCGGUACUAAUGGCUCU